UACGUAGGGUGCGAGCGUUUAAUCGGAAUUACUGGGCGUAAAGCGUGCGCAGGCGGCGCGUUUAAGACAGGUGUGAAAGCCCCGAGCUUAACUUGGGAAUUGCGCUUGUGACUGGCGAGCUGGAGUGUGGCAGAGGGAGGUGGAAUUCCACGUGUAGCAGUGAAAUGCGUAGAGAUGUGGAGGAACACCGAUGGCGAAGGCAGCCUCCUGGGCCAGCACUGACGCUCAUGCACGAAAGCGUGGGGAGCAAACAGG
rnacentral:rRNA from 1 species